rnacentral:lncRNA from 1 species
AUUGAUUUGUUUUGGUGAGGUUUUUUUCAAAUUGUUAUACUCACAUAAUUUCAAAAUCGCAUGAAUUGUUGCUUUGAUAUUCCUAUGCCGUCUUGCAAUGCGUUUAAUAUCAGUACAGCGUAGUACAUACGAAAGUCUGCUGCAGUCACAGUUCAUAUUUAUGAUCGAUCAUCAACGUUAUUUUAUAGUAAUAAUAAUAUUCUAUUUUAGUUUUAAUUUGAAUGCUGCCACUUCACAUUAUAGUUUGAUAUGGUCAAGGUGGCAAGGUGGUUCUGUUGCUUUGAACUAUAGUUCCUUUAAGUUGGUGGAUGGAUGGCCGAGUGGUGUCCUGUGUUGGCAUGCCAUGCAGGAGGACUGAGUCAGAUAUCUCCUGAAAAGUUUUUUUUGAGUUCCAGGCCCAGCCCAUGAUCCUCAUCCUUCAGCAUCUGGUCCCCCUCUGUGGUUGGAAGUGGCCUGCCCCUUGAGAAAAGCCGGCUU